CCCACACACCCAGCGGGGCAGGGAGGGGGGCACGGCCAAGCCACGGCCCCUGUGCCCUCACCAGGACUCACAAUGGAAGCCAGGACAGACAGCUCCUGAGGAAUUGCUUCUGGACCCUGGCCAUGAAAAAUGAAGCCCAAACACACGGAAUAAGCAAGGUUUUGGAACAAUGAAUGUGGGAAGAGAAGGAGCCUGAGAAACUCCACAUCCACUGCUCCCAGCAGAGCUCAGAGACAAGGCUGGAAAAUCGCAUCCUCCCAAAUUCUCCAGCCAGGGGUUCAUCUGAAAAUAUCUGAGAACUGAUUUAUCUUCAUCUGGGGUUCCAGAGGAAAUGCAUCCUGGGAGGUUCCUCGGGCAUCUUUGCACUCGGUAAAGUUCAAGUGGACAAGAGAAGGGAACAGAGGGCUUGAGACACUGAAUUACUAAAAGGUUCCUGGAAAUAUGUGGCCAAGAAGAGAAGAACCAACCUGUGAAAGGUGCUGCAUUUACAGGAAUUAAAUCUCUUUUCUCACAGAGGGAAAAGCUGCACUGCCAUGUUUUGACAGAAGAAAACUGACAUGGAAGGAAGGUGUUGAAAACUUCCAGUCAGGGGAAGCUCUGGAAUCCUUUUGUGGUCUCAAAGCUGGAACAAUCCCUUUGGAAAUCACAGUCCUAGAACCGCUGUAAUCUUUGUCAUGGAUUUUCUAUGACAAUUUCCCACUGCUUUCAGUCCAUGGAAUAGCAUUGUAGGAGAUUGGGAAUAUCUGUUCCUCUGAAGAACCUCUCCUUCUUAUUCUUCAUAUAAAUAAAUCACUUAGAGAAAAAAAAAAAAAAAAAAUUCAGCACCUCCAGUCCUAAUAAAAAAGGGACACACAAAAAUGUGAAGUGGGCAAUGAAUAUUUUAAUUUGCUUCAGACUAUUUUAAACUUUUCCCAACUCCUUUGCCAUUAAAGCAAUGGAAAACUGAAUGGAUUUCAUACCAUUGACCAGUGCCAUGAAAAAUGCCCUGUCCAGCACAGAAACGUGACUGUGGGUUUGCAUUUUCAAGCAAGUUUGGUUUCCCCUGCCACCACCCUGGGGUGAGACCUGACUGAGGCUUUACUUUGGUUGCCUGGAUUAGUCCCAGAGUCAGCAUGAGCUUCGUGCUCAGAGCAAAUUUAGACAAGCAAGUAAAUCAAAGUUCCCUCAUGAAGAACUUGUAAAUCAUGAGGAAUGCCUGAAUUUUAUAUAAAGCACAAUUUGAAUCUGAAUGAAAGCCCACAUGAAUGUUAGAGCUCCUUUUUGUACCUCUGUCAUAACUAAAGGAAGAUGAUGGUACAUUUUCUUCCCCCUUUGUUUGUUUGUU